GCCUGGGUGUCUCAGUGAGCUAAGUGUCUGACUUCAGCUCAGGUCAUGAUCUCACAGUUUGUGGGUUCAAGACCCACUUCAGGCU
rnacentral:tRNA from 1 species